rnacentral:rRNA from 1 species
GAUGAACGCUGGCGGCGUGCCUAAUACAUGCAAGUCGAACGAGGUGCCUUUGUAGCAAUACGAAGGUAUCCUAGUGGCGAACGGGUGAGUAACGCGUUGGUGACCUACCCCAAAGUGUGGGAUAACAGAUCGAAAGAUCUGCUAAUACCGCAUGUGGUCUUCGGAUUUAGAAACUGAUGACUAAAGGAGCAAUUCGCUUUGGGAGGGACCUGCGUCCCAUCAGCUAGUUGGUGAGGUAAUGGCUCACCAAGGCUACGACGGGUAGGGACCUGAGAGGGUGGCCCCCCACAAUGGAACUGAAACACGGUCCAUACACCUACGGGUGGCAGCAGUAGGGAAUAUUGCGCAAUGGGCGAAAGCCUGACGCAGCGACGCCGCGUGAGGGACGAAGGUCUUCGGAUUGUAAACCUCUUUCAGCAGGGACGAAGCGAAAGUGACUGUACCUGCAGAAGAAGCACCGGCUAACUACGUGCCAGCAACCGCGG